GCACGCAUUCUGCGUUUCUCUCUGCUCUGCCGAGUUCUGCUAUACUCUGCCAUGUUCUUCUUCUCUGCCGUGUUCUUCUCCUCGCGUCGAGUUCUGCUUUACUCCACCAUGUUCUUCUGCUCGCGCCGAGGAAUUUCAUGUAACUCAAUUAGAUUACAGAAAGGCUAUCUGCGGAUAAAUGUGAGGCAGAGUUGUUAAGCAAGAAAUAUGAGGAGAAGUACAAACAUUGUAGCAGAAAUAACAUCCAAAUUGAUUGUUGAAGGCAGUUAUGAACAUUCUGUUGGAUAUUCAUGGCAUUGUGAUGGCUGUUCUUUACAGGAGAAAAGUGCAUUUUGGAUUCAGAACUUUGGCAUGCAUGUGCUGGUCCCCUUUUUUCUUUACCAGUUGUUCAAAACCGAAUUGUCUACUUUCCACAAGGUCACAGUGAACAGGACUUUAAACCUCUAUCUCUUUCUCUGUUCUUCGCACUGUGUUGGUUACUUCUCUUUGCAUUUUGGGUUCGUCGCUGUUGGCGUCUCCACCGUGUUCGUCGCUGCUCGCCUCACCUUGCCGUUGGUUUCGUCCCUGCUCGCAUCGCCAUCUGUUCAUCGCUGCUCACAUUUGAAGCUUCUGAUUUUUGGUCUUCUCGCUUCCAAUUUUCUCGUCGCCUUCUGCUCUUGGUAGCUUCUUGGCUCCUGGCUGGGUGCUGAGCUGCUCUGCACCGCCGUGGUGCAUCAUAGGUGUUGGAGUUGGCUGGGAAUUCUUUCAGUUCAAUUGAGUUAGCGCUAAGUUUUUCGCCAUGCUUCCAAUUACGUUCACAAAAGGAUUCAUGUUUCUUGAGUCACAAGGUGUCUUUGGAGUAUAUUAAUUCACCAAGAAUGGUGUUUGCAGCUACAAUGGAUAGGUUUCUUUUACCUGCGGGGUGAGACUGCAGUACACGUGGUGGAACGAGAAGUGCACGAAGAUGGUUCCGUGUGAUGUUUGGAGAUUGGAAAGUGGUGGCUUUGCAUGGAGGCUGGACGUGAAAGCUGCACUCAACUUGGGUCUCUGAAUAAA